AAAUUGAAGAGUUUGAUCAUGGCUCAGAUUGAACGCUGGCGGCAGGCCUAACACAUGCAAGUCGAACGGUAACAGGAAGCAGCUUGCUGCUUUGCUGACGAGUGGCGGACGGGUGAGUAAUGUCUGGGAAACUGCCUGAUGGAGGGGGAUAACUACUGGAAACGGUGGCUAAUACCGCAUAAUGUCGCAAGACCAAAGAGGGGGACCUUCGGGCCUCUUGCCAUCAGAUGUGCCCAGAUGGGAUUAGCUUGUUGGUGAGGUAACGGCUCACCAAGGCGACGAUCCCUAGCUGGUCUGAGAGGAUGACCAGCCACACUGGAACUGAGACACGGUCCAGACUCCUACGGGAGGCAGCAGUGGGGAAUAUUGCACAAUGGGCGCAAGCCUGAUGCAGCCAUGCCGCGUGUAUGAAGAAGGCCUUCGGGUUGUAAAGUACUUUCAGCGGGGAGGAAGGUGUUGCGGUUAAUAACCGCAGCAAUUGACGUUACCCGCAGAAGAAGCACCGGCUAACUCCGUGCCAGCAGCCGCGGUAAUACGGAGGGUGCAAGCGUUAAUCGGAAUUACUGGGCGUAAAGCGCACGCAGGCGGUCUGUCAAGUCGGAUGUGAAAUCCCCGGGCUCAACCUGGGAACUGCAUUCGAAACUGGCAGGCUUGAGUCUUGUAGAGGGGGGUAGAAUUCCAGGUGUAGCGGUGAAAUGCGUAGAGAUCUGGAGGAAUACCGGUGGCGAAGGCGGCCCCCUGGACAAAGACUGACGCUCAGGUGCGAAAGCGUGGGGAGCAAACAGGAUUAGAUACCCUGGUAGUCCACGCCGUAAACGAUGUCUACUUGGAGGUUGUGCCCUUGAGGCGUGGCUUCCGGAGCUAACGCGUUAAGUAGACCGCCUGGGGAGUACGGCCGCAAGGUUAAAACUCAAAUGAAUUGACGGGGGCCCGCACAAGCGGUGGAGCAUGUGGUUUAAUUCGAUGCAACGCGAAGAACCUUACCUGGUCUUGACAUCCACAGAACUUUCCAGAGAUGGAUUGGUGCCUUCGGGAACUGUGAGACAGGUGCUGCAUGGCUGUCGUCAGCUCGUGUUGUGA
rnacentral:rRNA from 1 species